rnacentral:tRNA from 1 species
UAAAAAAAUAGGAAUUGAACCUAUACCUGAGAACCCAAAAUUCCCCGUACUUCCAUUAUACUUUUUCCU